AUAAAUGAAUAAAAUUGAAACACUCCAUCUCAAAACCUACUAACUUUUUAACCGUUGGAAAUUAGCUUUUGCUCCAGACGUGAUAAUGUUUCUUAAUGAAUUCAACCUAAAAUUACAAGGCAAAACAACAGUUAUAGGUGAAACAUAUACAAAAACUCGUUUAUUUAUUAUUACACCCCUACGAAACUGUUCAUAUUUGGAAACUAAAGCACAGAGAGAUAA
rnacentral:lncRNA from 1 species